UUGGAGGGCAAGUCUGGUGCCAGCAGCCGCGGUAAUUCCAGCUCCAAUAGCGUAUAUUAAAGUUGUUGCAGUUAAAAAGCUCGUAGUUGAAUUUCGGGAUUAGUACGCUGGUCGUGCCUUCGGUACGUACUGGUGUUACUGAUUUCUACCUUCUGACGAACCAUCAUGUCAUUAAUUUGGUGUGGUGGGGAAUCAGGACUGUUACUUUGAAAAAAUUAGAGUGUUUAAAGCAGGCUCGCGCUUGAAUACAUUAGCAUGGAAUAAUGAAAUAGGACGUUGAUCCUAUUUUGUUGGUUUCUAGGAUUGACGUAAUGAUUAAUAGGGAUAGUUGGGGGCAUUAGUAUUCAAUUGUCAGAGGUGAAAUUCUUGGAUUUAUUGAAGACUAACUACUGCGAAAGCAUUUGCCAAGGAUGUUUUCAUUAAUCAAGAACGAAAGUUAGGGGAUCGAAGACGACCAGAUACCGUCGUAGUCUUAACCAUAAACUAUGCCGACUAGGGAUCGGAUGAUGUUAUUUUUAAUGACUUAUUCGGCGCCUUACGGGAAAC
rnacentral:rRNA from 1 species